ACCAUAAGUGAUGAUUUCUUAUUACCGCCCCAGUCUGAAAUUUCAUGACUGAUUGGUAUCUCUGAUCCAAG
ensembl:snoRNA SNORD31 Small nucleolar RNA SNORD31